UAGCAGUACCAUUUAAUGGUACUAUCCCU
rnacentral:sRNA from 1 species